UACGUAGGGGGCGAGCGUUGUCCGGAAUCAUUGGGCGUAAAGCGCGUGUAGGCGGCUCGUUAAGUCCGGUGUGAAACCUUGGGGCUCAACCCCAAGCCUGCACUGGAUACUGACGAGCUCGAGUCCGGGAGGGGAGAGCGGAAUCCUGGUGUAGCGGUGAAAUGCGCAGAUAUCAGGAGGAACACCGGUGGCGAAGGCGGGUCUCUGGGCCGUAACUGACGCUGAGGAGCGAAAGCGUGGGGAGCAAACAGG
rnacentral:rRNA from 1 species